CCCUGUUUGGUCCUAAAGUCUUGAUCAAUCUAUCUUUUACAAAUAGAUUGAUGAAUUGAUUAAUACAGUCUUGUUUAAUCAUUAUAUUAAUAAUAUUAAUCAGGGCUACUGUUUGAGCCCUUUAACCCGUGGCCAACGUUAAUAAGGUUUUCUUGGUAACAAUCUGCAGAUAAUUCUUUCUCUAGAGUAUAAUUCUUUUCAAUAUAAUCAAGUACAAAGACAUAUCCCAAGUAUUAUUAUAUUUGGGUUUGGGGGUCUUAAUUUAAAAAAUCCCUUGAACAAUCUUUUGAUCUAAUGAUCGGUAUCCAAAUGUGGUCCUAUAACUAAUGAUAGAGCUAAUCUUACGGAAUUCAAAUUACCAUAUGUUACUAACUGUAACUCUUUCAUUGAAUCACAA